rnacentral:rRNA from 1 species
UGGGGAAUAUUGGACAAUGGGCGAAAGCCUGAUCCAGCCAUGCCGCGUGAGUGACGAAGGCCUUAGGGUUGUAAAACUCUUUCGUCGGGGACGAUAAUGACGGUACCCGAAGAAGAAGCUCCGGCUAACUUCGUGCCAGCAGCCGCGGUAAUACGAAGGGAGCUAGCGUUGUUCGGAAUCACUGGGCGUAAAGCGCACGUAGGCGGAUAGUUAAGUCAGGGGUGAAAUCCUGGGGCUCAACCCCAGAACUGCCUUUGAUACUGGCUGUCUCGAGGUCGAGAGAGGUUGGUGGAAUUCCUAGUGUAGCAGUGAAAUGCGUAGAUAUGUGGAGGAAUACCGAUGGCGAAGGCAGCCCCCUGGGCUAACACUGACGCUCAUGCACGAAAGCGUGGGGAGCAAACAGGAUUAGAUACCCCCGUAGUCCCUGAGCGGGCUGGCAAGGCGCAU